GAGGUGAAUCCAGGGCUCACCCUGGAACUGCCUCUAAAACUGUUAGUCUUGAGAUCGAGAGAGGUGAGUGGAAUUCCAAGUGUAGAGGUGAAAUUCGUAGAUAUUUGGAGGAACACCAGUGGCGAAGGCGGCUCACUGGCUCGAUACUGACA
rnacentral:rRNA from 1 species